UCCCUGGUGGCUCAGACGGUAAAGCGUCUGUCUACAAUGCAGGAGACCCGGGUUCGAGCCCUGGGUUAGGAA
rfam:TPA: Bos taurus chromosome 10, whole genome shotgun sequence.